rnacentral:piRNA from 1 species
GCUAGGGUUCUGAGGAGCAAGUG